rnacentral:lncRNA from 1 species
AUACUUCCACCAAUCACUUGUUUUGGGCCAAAUAUUUUGCAGUUUAACUUUUAAUUUGGUUUCUCUUUGUGGGCCGCUCCUAGUGCUUUAUUUGUACAGAAAAAGAUUCAAGUACAACAACAAAGGAGGUAACUAUAUUUCACCACUUCUUCUUAUUUCUAGCAUUUCUUUAUUUAAAUUAUUUAUUCUAUUAUGAUGUAUUUACUUUAUUAUUCUAUUUUAUUUGUGAAUUUAAAUUUUACCUAAAUUUAUUUAUUUCAUAGGUUACAAUUUUUAAAAAGUUUCUAAUUGUUUCUGUUUUGGUACAUAAAAAACUAUUUGGCAAUAUGAUAAAGAUAUUUUAAGCCAAUUUUUACAACAGCUAAAAUGAAGUCAUCUCUAUAGAACAGUAAGAGUGAAAUUCAUUAAUAAUUUGAUUUAUGUUUUCAAAAAUUAUUAUUGUUCAAAUAUUCAUUGUAAUCACAUUAAAAAGAGUGUGACUUAAUAUUGAGUAUAUCAAAAUAAAGUAAAAACUUAAUUACUUUAAAAUCUUAAUUAAAAAUUUGUCAAUAUUAUAUAAAUUAACAUCUUUUAACAUUAUUAAAUUUACAACAAAUACAAAAUAAUAAGAAAUGAUAGUAGUUUGUAAAAGUUCCAUUUAGUUUAUUGGUUUAUAUAUCCUCCAUUUAUCUAUAUUAUUCAAGAAAGUGGAAGUGAAGAUGGACUAUAUUUCUUGUACUAGGUAUUAUCAUCUACUACAAGUUCUAUCUUGAUGCAUUGGCCAACCUAUGUAGUGGUGUUUUCAACUCAAACGCAGAAAGGCAAAAUGUGG